AAGGGUGCGUAACACGUAUGCAAUCUGCCCUCAACAGGAGAAUAGCUCGGGGAAACUCGAAUUAACACUCCAUAAUAUCACGGGAUGGCAUCAUUUUGUGAUUAAAACUACGGUGGUUGAGGAUGAGCAUGCGCAUGAUUAGCUAGUUGGCGGGGUAACGGCCCACCAAGGCAAUGAUCAUUAGGGGAACUGAGAGGUUGAUCCCCCACACUGGCACUGAGAUACGGGCCAGACUCCUACGGGAGGCAGCAGUAGGGAAUAUUGGACAAUGGGUGCGAGCCUGAUCCAGCCAUGCCGCGUGCAGGAAGAAGGCCUUCUGGGUUGUAAACUGCUUUUGCCAGGGGAUAAAAAGCCCAUGCGUGGGAAAUUGAAGGUACCUGGUGAAUAAGCCACGGCUAACUACGUGCCAGCAGCCGCGGUAAUACGUAGGUGGCAAGCGUUGUCCGGAUUUAUUGGGUUUAAAGGGUGCGUAGGCGGUUUUAUAAGUCAGUGGUGAAAUACGGCAGCUUAACUGUCGAGGUGCCAUUGAUACUGUAAGACUUGAGUACUGAUGAGGUAGGCGGAAUUGACGGUGUAGCGGUG
rnacentral:rRNA from 1 species